rnacentral:rRNA from 1 species
CCAUCAUUUAAAGAAAGCGUAAUAGCUCACUGGUCGAGUCGGCCUGCGCGGAAGAUGUAACGGGGCUAAACCAUGCACCGAAGCUGCGGCAGCGACGCUUAUGCGUUGUUGGGUAGGGGAGCGUUCUGUAAGCCUGUGAAGGUGUGCUGUGAGGCAUGCUGGAGGUAUCAGAAGUGCGAAUGCUGACAUAAGUAACGAUAAAGCGGGUGAAAAGCCCGCUCGCCGGAAGACCAAGGGUUCCUGUCCAACGUUAAUCGGGGCAGGGUGAGUCGACCCCUAAGGCGAGGCCGAAAGGCGUAGUCGAUGGGAAACAGGUUAAUAUUCCUGUACUUGGUGUUACUGCGAAGGGGGGACGGAGAAGGCUAUGUUGGCCGGGCGACGGUUGUCCCGGUUUAAGCGUGUAGGCUGGUUUUCCAGGCAAAUCCGGAAAAUCAAGGCUGAGGCGUGAUGACGAGGCACUACGGUGCUGAAGCAACAAAUGCCCUGCUUCCAGGAAAAGCCUCUAAGCAUCAGGUAACAUCAAAUCGUACCC